UCAUCAGCAGCCUACACUUACUUCGAGAGAAACAGCGUUGAAUUUGCGUAUCUUCACAUUUACAUGUACCGAAAAAGCUCAGAUAUAUAAGCAUGACUUAAGCUGUAGUAGCGUUUACCGGGGAGGACGACGACCUGGCUAUAGUGUCUACAAGGUGGCUUAUAAAUGAUAAGGAUUGCUAUUGGCCACCGUACAGGACAACCUUCCGCAUUGACAAGGCUGUGCGUGAGGCAGAAGUUCCAGGGUCAGAGUGGCAUAUCCAUGCCAUCAGAGUGUUGACAACAACUGACUCUUACGAAAUGGCAAGGCAUCGACUCAGACGAGCUGAGGACACAUCAGAUCUGCA